rnacentral:tRNA from 1 species
GGAGCCGUAGUUCAACCGGUUAGAGCGCCGGCCUGUCACGCCGGAGGUUGCGGGUUCGAGCCCCGUCGGCUCCG